rfam:Salmo salar isolate Sally breed double haploid chromosome ssa07, whole genome shotgun sequence.
UCUUCAACCGAUUGUAAGUCGCUCUGGAUAAGAGCGUCUGCUAAAUGACUUAAA